GCCACUAGAGAGUAUGAUAACAACCAACCAUGUUCAAUCUGUCUUGAAAGAACCUCCUUGCAAUGCUCUGCGCGCAUGAACGGAAAGUGGAUUGGAGAGUUCUGUUUUUCACCGAGUUGCCAAGUUCUAAUUCGAUUUCGAUAACAUCAGGUAACUAUCAAAUUGCACUAUCCGAAUGCUUUGUAAGAAUGAGAUUUGAUGUAUUUAAUAUAUUCACCCAUUCAAAAAGUUUGGUUUGAGGGUGCAGCAGUAGCAAUAUUGUAUCAUCAUCUUUUUUUUAAUAGUUAACAUACAUCUCAUUAAAUAUCAAAAUAUGCCGUCCAAUAACUUCAAUAAUCAAUCUACUGCUGCUUUGUUCAAACAGCAGCAUCUUGAGAA
rnacentral:sRNA from 1 species